GUUUUGGAGUGCAGGCGUGAAUAGUCCUUUCUGUCCUGCUUUGAGUACUGCUGUUGGGUGCCUUGGGGGGACCUUAAGGGAGCUCGGAAGUUGAGACGUGGUGAGUGCGAGAUCACUGCCCACAAAGGGGAGGAGCAGGCGGAUGAACAGCCAGAGCUGCAAUGGUGGAUCCUCCUCCAGGGCUGCAUGGGACGACAGAUAGAUGAGGCUCUAGGACGGGCACAAAUGCUACCCGAAUGCAAACCACUCCGGAGAUCUGUAAAAGGACUGGCCCCGGACAGGAAGCACACUUUAAACUAGAGGCGGGAGUCAAAGCCCCGGUGAAGAUUCUGUGACGGUUCAUUGUAUAAUUUAUGAUGAUGAAGAUUGAGUUGCAUUUUGCGGAAAAGAGAUGUUGAGAUAUCUAAGGCAUUGAGAAAUCUGUCAUGCAGACAUGCACACAGGGAGAGGGAGUACCCAAACUGAUGAGAACUUACAGGAAUUGGACCAUCUAAGCCCUUAGAAAGUGAAGUCCACUGUGUCUCAAACAAAGAUCUUCAUCCACAUCUUGAAGUUUGAAGUUUGGCCAAGAAUAUACAGAGUAGAUUCUCUUUCUCAGGAUGGCAAGUGUUCAUGACAUCAAUACUACCCAAGGCUUCAGAGUCAUUGGAUUGCAGGAUUAUGCUUUGUGUUGUCCAAAUCUAUGGGAUAUUUUAGGAUGCAGUGACUUAUGAUGAUGUGAGUGUGAACUUCACUGAGGAAGAGUGGGAUUUGCUGGAUCCUUCCCAGAAAAGUCUCUAUGAAGAGGUGAUGCUGGAGACCUACCAGAACAUCACUGCUAUAGGUAAGUGAAUUUCCUCUUGCUUUUCUGAAUAAGGG
rnacentral:lncRNA from 1 species